rnacentral:rRNA from 1 species
CAGCCGUAAACUAUGCUCGCUAGGUGUCAGGCAUGGCGCGACCGUGUCUGGUGCCGCAGGGAAGCCGUGAAGCGAGCCACCUGGGAAGUACGGCCGCAAGGCUGAAACUUAAAGGAAUUGGCGGGGAGCACAACAACGGGUGGAGCCUGCGGUUUAAUUGGACUCAACGCCGGAAAUCUCACCGGAUAAGACAGCAGAAUGAUUGCCGGGCUGAAGACUCUGCAUGACUAGCUGAGAGGAGGUGCAUGGCGUAGACGUCU